rnacentral:lncRNA from 1 species
ACUACCCGUGUCAGCCGUCGCGGUCACUGACGGUGGGCCACACUUUCCGGAGUUAAGCCUAAAAAGGAAAGAAAAAGAAAGACGCGGUUCUUGCCGACGCUGCACGCGCGGAGCAGCUUACGACGGGAGAAGGAGAAGCCUACGUCACCAGGUAGAUGGGCAUCGCCGGAGCUCCUCCUCCGGCGCUGUCCCUGAGGCUGACGUAUGGGAGCACGGAGGCGGACGCGCCGAGCUCGGAGACCGCGAGGUGGCCGGACCGCAUGGCCGGCGCCCAGCACGCGCACGCCGCCGCCGCCGCCCCGCCGCCGNNNNNNNNNNNNNNNAGGAGAAGGAGGAGGAGGAGCCGCGCUUGAAGAAAAGGAUCGCGGCGGAGGCGGCGGAGCUCCACCACCGGCGGCGCUGCUGCUUCUGCUGGUGCUGU